rnacentral:rRNA from 1 species
ACAUGCCUACAACAUAGCGUUAACGCACCAGAUCCCAUAAGAACUUCACAAUUAAGCACGCUCGGGCUAGAGUAGUAAUGGGAUGGGUGACUGCACGAGAAGUCCUAGUGUUUUACAUGCU